GUCCCCUUGGGGACAUCCGAUAAAAUUGGAACGAUACAGAGAAGAUUAGCAUGGCCCUAUGACACGCACAAAUCGAGAAAUGGUUCAAAUUUUU
rnacentral:snRNA from 1 species